rnacentral:rRNA from 1 species
CCUACGGGAGGCAGCAGUGGGGAAUAUUGGACAAUGGGCGAAAGCCUGAUCCAGCCAUGCCGCGUGUGUGAAGAAGGCCUUCGGGUUGUAAAGCACUUUCAGUGGGGAAGAAAGCCUUGGGGCUAAUACCCUCGAGGAAGGACAUCACCCACAGAAGAAGCACCGGCUAACUCCGUGCCAGCAGCCGCGGUAAUACGGAGGGUGCGAGCGUUAAUCGGAAUUACUGGGCGUAAAGCGCGCGUAGGUGGUCUGAUAAGCCGGUUGUGAAAGCCCCGGGCUCAACCUGGGAACGGCAUCCGGAACUGUCAGGCUAGAGUGCAGGAGAGGAAGGUAGAAUUCCCGGUGUAGCGGUGAAAUGCGUAGAGAUCGGGAGGAAUACCAGUGGCGAAGGCGGCCUUCUGGACUGACACUGACGCUGAGGUGCGAAAGCGUGGGUAGCAAACAGGAUUAGAUACCCGGGUAGUC